AUUGAACGCUGGCGGCAGGCUUAACACAUGCAAGUCGAGCGGGGAAGGUUGCCUCGGUAACUGACCUAGCGGCGGACGGGUGAGUAAUGCUUAGGAAUCUGCCCAUUAGUGGGGGACAACAUUCCGAAAGGGAUGCUAAUACCGCAUACGUCCUACGGGAGAAAGCAGGGGAUCAUUUGACCUUGCGCCAAUAGAUGAGCCUAAGUCGGAUUAGCUAGUUGGUGGGGUAAAGGCCUACCAAGGCGACGAUCUGUAGCGGGACUGAGAGGAUGGUCCGCCACACUGGGACUGAGACACGGCUCAGACGCCUACGGGAGGCAGAAGUGCGGGAGAUUGGACAAGUGCGGGAACCCUGAUCCAGCCCUGCCGCGUGUGUGAAGAAGGCCUUUUGGUUGUAAAUCACUUUAAGCGAGGAGGAGGCUCUCUUGGUUAAUACCUGCGAAGAGUGUACGGUACUCGCAGAAUAAGCACCGGCUAACUCUGUGCCAGCAGCCGCGGUAA
rnacentral:rRNA from 1 species